rnacentral:rRNA from 1 species
GACGAACGCUGGCGGCGUGCUUAACACAUGCAAGUCGAGCGGAGCGGCGAACGGGUGAGUAACGCGUGAGUAACUGCCCCCCUCUCUGGGAUAACAGUUGGAAACGGCUGCUAAUACCGGAUAGUGGGGGAUGACUCGCGUCCUAUCAGCUUGUUGGUGGGGUGAUGGCCUACCAAGGCGGUGACGGGUAGCCGGCCUGAGAGGGUGCCCGGCCACAUAGGGCGGGGAAAAGGCCCAGAGUACGAAGGGGGGCAGCAGUGGGGGAUAUUGGACAAUGGGCGAAAGCGUGAUGCAGCGACGCCGAGUGGGGGAUGAAGGCUUUCGGGUUGUAAACCUCUGUAGCUAUAGAAAGGGUAGGUGGAGAAGAAGCGCCGGCUAACUACGUGCCAGCAGCCGCGGUAAUUC